GCCAGUGUGGUGUAGUGGUUUGAGAGUUGGACUAUGACUCUGGAGACCAGGGUUCAAUCCCCCACUUGGCCA